GCGGGAGGUCCACUGGAGCCGCGGGACUGGCGACCGGCAGAGCGCCUCCCGCAGCAUGAUGCCGUGCCUGGGGCGGCGAAAUGUGUAGAGCAGGCAUCGUCCCCGCCCCCAGUAUCCUCCACCUCUGAUUUCUCCAAAGCUCUGCUUAGCGGUCAGGGUGGGAAGAAGCUCCCUCUGUCCCUCUCUUGGGCUGAAGCUGGCAGGCAGCUCCAGGAUUCUGACUCCUGGGUCCUAGUGCCUGUCAUCAUCAGCUUCUAUGUGUGCUGGGUCCUGUUUCUGGACAACUGAAAGAAAGGGAGCCAGGUAGGGGAAAAAGAGGGAAAAAUGCAAAAGCAGCCAUUUGGAAAGGUUAAACGCCUCCUGAUCCACAAAGGGAAAUCUGCCUUUAAGACCCCAAAUUCCAAUAAGAACACUGCACAAUUAGCACAAGGGGUCCACGGAAAAUUGUCCUUGCUUGCCAGCGAGCCUGCCCACAACACAAAAAAAAAAAAAAAAAAAAAAAAAAAAAAAAAAGGAAGAAAAAAGAAAAAAAAGAGGAAAAAAGAAAAAAAAAUUAAAGAAAGGGUCUGCCGCAUGGGUACUGUGCCAGUUCCAUCUGUUUUUUGCCAUCUUGAAAAGUAGUAAACCAAAAUCUCCUCCCAGGAGCGUCUCUUCCUUGGUGAACUGUCCCUUGUGUUUGUACAAAAAAAAUGCAGUCUUUUUUUUUUUUUUUUUUUUGUUAAACACAAGCAUCCUUCUUUCUGUUCACAUGCCAUUUCCAUUCUGUCUCCAGAGUUGCGAGUUGUUUUGUUUUUUUGGGGUUUUUAUUUUUAUUUUUUUUAAAUCUUCCUCCCCCCAACAUCCAGUAAGACCUGCCUCCAAGUUCUUGCAUAGUUGAAGUAUAUAUGCUGCACUGAGUGUGUAUUUCUGACUGUGACAAGAAUGAGUUGUAACCAUGUUAACAAAUAACCAGAGUGGUUCUAGAAACCUUUUUUUUUUUUUUAUAUAAAGUCUACCUAUGUUAAGAAUUUAAUAUUGGUGUACAUUUAUAUUAACAGAAUAUUUACAGUUUGUUUUCUUUGUUUGUUUUGUUUAAAACAAGAAGUCAAAAAAAAUUCCUCUUAAAUUUCUGCAUAAUAUUAUAAGGCAAAAAACAAACAGUUUUGUACAUUAUUAUUAUUAUUAAUAAUAAUAUUUUAAUAUAUAUCUGUAACUUCGGUUCCAAAGUACCAAGAUAAGUGAUCAAUUGGCCUCAGUUAGGGAACCUCACAGUGGACUGUAAGAAACUACAGUAUUUCCAUAAAUAAUACUUUAAGAAACCCUGGGUCAUUUUCUUAAGGAUCUGAGGCAUUUUAAAUGCAAAUUUAACUAAAAACAAAAUUUCUCUUUUUUUAAGUGAAUAAAGAGCACAAAAUUAAAAAAAUUACAAAUCCAUUAAAAAUGUUUCUCACAUUUGGGAAAAAAUGUACAAACUUGAUAUUUUUAAUAACUAAUUUUAGCACAGAAACAAAAAAAAAUCAAUACCUAUAUAUAUUAAAUUCCCAUUCUUAGCAACCUUCUUGUUGGAAAGUUUGAAACCCCAUACCCCAUUAUUUAUGGAACUGUGCUUAACUUCUAUAAAUUUUACAUUAAAAAAAAAAAAGGUUACAGCA